GCUACUUUGUUCUACGAAAAUGAUAGAAAAUAUGAAAGAUAUAAAAUUAUUUGUUUCUAGGUUAAAAUGUUAGCCAAUCAAUGGGAAAGGUGAGAGGUCAGGGGCGGGGGCAAAUCCUGCGUAAGGAAAAGUCACGCUCUCUUUCGGCUGCAGGCGAUAUACGGAGAAGAUCACACUGGAGAACUGUAAAGUGGUUAAUGCUACUUUUCGUGUUUAAGUAAUACUUAAUGGUUGUCAGACCGAUAACCUAUCCGUUACUUUGCAUGCGGAAGAAGUCGGUAUCACAUAGAGACAUUUUCAAAACGAAUUAGUCAGAAUAGCUCAGCUAAUAGUAUAGCCUGAAAAGUUAGCAACUCGGUAGCUGGGACUAUGUUAGGCUAACUGACUUCGUCAACAAUGAGUUGCCUCUGAGGAACAAGACUGCGAGACUAACCGGAGGAAGACAGCUUGCUGUUUGAACUGAUACGCGAACUACAGCGUCGCGUGAGCAACUGCGCCACCGAGAGCGCGUGAGCAGGGCUGCAGUGACGGUGCAUGGACCCUCUCUGGGCACGGACAUCCCCAUCAACCUCGUCAGAAAUCAUCAUCGUUGUCGUCAUCGGCAGUUACUCGAGUCAAGUAUGACUGUCUUCCAUGGGGUUAGAAGUUGGUGGAUCUGCAGAUGGCAGGAGAGGCCAAUCUGUAACCUGAAUAUUGGAUUCCUUGUGGAAAUCUAUAACAUUGACCAUACUAAUUACUGUUUUGUGAAGGUAAUCAUCAGCAUUAGUGUUAUGAUUCAUUUUAGCUGGUUAGCUUUUUCCUAAUAGCUAGUUGUCUGCUGACUAGCUUGUUGCUGAGCUACUCACUCUUGUCCACUGUUGUUGCUGUACUGCAAUUUAAGUCCAAAAUUUUGCAUUUUCACUAGAGUAGAACAGUAGCAGUAGUCAAUCAGGCCAGUAACUGUAAAAGUAUGGUUAAAGUAGCUUACGUGCUCUUUAUGGCGGAUGGAAAUGGUUGGACACUGCUCCACUCCACUAUAAAGGAGCCGCCACUGCAAACACCACCUGGCAGGCCACCAUGCACCGUAAAGUUCCCUUUCAAAGGGAACUUUGAUGUUGCGUUUAGCAUAAUACUAUGGGAGCGCCUCUCGCACGCAACUGGCAUCUGAAGCUUGUGUAAAAUCAUGCCUAUUUAUAGGCCUGCCAUGAUCAGGUGACGUGGCAAUUAAGCGCGUUGUGUGAUACAAAUAUGACACCUGUGAACCGUGCCAUCAGCCUUUAUUAUCUUCAGCGAAAGACUGCAUGUCAGUUGUUUGUAUAAAGAAACAAAAAGAUGUUUCAUUUCCUCGCUAUCUUUUCUCAAAAUCUCAGAACUUUUCUAUUCCUUUAAAAAAAAAAAGAGAAGAAAAAAAAUCUGAGUGAGAGAUUUCAGAAAGUGUGUUACGACUUGCUCCCGUUUCAUUAUGGAGAAUAGUGCACACUUUGUGGGUGACGUGUCGAGGGUUGGAGCAUGCAAUGGCAGCCUCGAGAGGCUGCGCAUGGUAAUGCCUACCUUAAGCAGAUCCGCUCACGACUCGCGCUCUUCUUGGAAGGUGAAGUGAGUUGGGUUUCAGAGCCUCGCGGAUCUGGGCCGGCCGCUGCCGAGGCAGCUAGCCCUCUCAGGUUCGGGGGAUCUCUUAUGGAUCCGGAAGAGAGGCUGGAGACGAGCGCUGCUCUAUCUCUUGCUCUGUCUUCCGGGUUCGGCUCUGCGCUGGAUUUUGGACCUCGCGUCCCGACGACUCCUUCCACUAUGGAAAGCCAAAAGGGGAAGAAAAACACACACACACACACACACACACACACACACACACACACACACACACACAAAUAAUAGUAAUAAUUCCUCUCUGACUCUGAGGAGCCAGAAGGAUGUGCUAAAAACAGAGCAGCAUGAGCUGCUUGAAGUGAUUACUAAGGCUGGAUAAGCCUUUGUCUCCUCAGUGAAACUAAAUCCCUCACACUGCAGAAACUCCCCUUUCCUCCAGAAGUGCAUGACAAAAUAUCAGGCUUCUGGGGGAAAACCAUGCAUAAAGCCAUAUUUAUAACCCGACGAUGUUGGAUUAUUCGGCCAUUGUGGGGAAUGAAUGGCAUGGCUAUUUAGCUAUGCUGAAGGUGGAGGAGGCACUUGCGAGCUACCUCUCUCCAUCAACGGAAGGUAAUUAGGGGGAAAGCCACCGGUGGGCAAGGCUUAUGAGGUAGUAGUCUUGUUUGUGGGUCACUGCAGACAAUGACAGUGUUGCAGGCCUACCAAGCAGACCUGCUGAGUGAGCUUGACAUAUUGCGGCAUUCAGCCAGUUCCUUCCCUGUUGUCUCGAGUUCACGUGGAGCCCAGGCCAGCACUAGUGCAAAGGAUACCCAGAAGGCGAGUAUGGCAGCCCGCCAACCCCCGCAGACAGCCAGGGGAACCAGGCGGCCAUAGUCGCGGCCUGAUCUGAGAAUGGUCAUAAAGGCCUAGCAGGCAAAGAAGAGCCGUCCUGAGGGGCCGUGGAGGGAAGUAUCAUGACAUGAGGGACAUGAGGUUGUUAGGGCAGUUAGCCCCCAGUGCUACUGUAGGGCCUCCCUAGCCAAGUCGGUCCCAAGUUUCCAGUGUUCUCUGGUCACCGAGCUGUCACAGGGCAACGAAAAUCUGAUGCUUUCCCUCCAAUAGAAUGUGGAAUAGUUAACGUCACUAAAAGGCCAUCUGGCAGUAUGGAAACUACUGUCAAAUGUGUCUCCAUUGGUUCUGUCUACCGUAGAAAAGGGUUACUGGGUCCAGUUUAUAGCUCAACCCCCCCGGUUCAGAGGUGUGCUCACCACAGUAGUCAGCACAGACCAGAGCCCGACGUUAGAUCAUUAGUAAGAUCCCUCUUGGACAAAGGAGCCAUAGAACAUGUACCCUGCUCCCUGAGGGAGGGAGGUUUUUACAGCUGUUAUUUCCUGGUCUGUAAAAAAUAGGAGUAUGUGGCCAAUUUUAGAUCUGCGUCAUCUGAACUGUACUCUUCGGACAUACAGGUUCAAGAUGCUGACGCCCAAACUUAUCAUUCCACAGAUUCAGUUUGAGGACUGGUUUGGGACGAUAGAUCUAAAAGGUGCAUAUUUCCACAUAGAAAUAUCGCUAGCUUUAUCCCCUCGAACCUUCACAAAGUGCAUGGAUGUCACUCCUGCUCCACUGUAACUCCAGGGCAUCUGUGUAUUAAACUACCUGGAUGACUGGUUAAUUCUACCACAAUCCAGGGAACUGGCGGUUCAACAUCGAGAUGUUGUUCUCGCCCACAUCAAGAUCUUGGGGCUCAGGUUAAAACUCAGAAAAGUAUGCUUUCCCCAGUGCAGUGGACAACUUUUCUAGGGGUUAUAAGGAUUCUAGUGAUGAGGAUGUUUCUAUCCCCAACAUGCGUAGGGUCAAUCCUAUCAACACUGAGCAAGAUAAACCUGGAUCUUGGGAGACUAUUGGCUCUUAUGGGCCUAUUGCACAGGAAACCGUUCAGUGGUGGCUGAGAAGUUGUGGGUUUCGUCCAAGUACAAAACCUCUGAGAAUAAUCAGUCUCACGUGGUGAUGCCUACGUGCUCUGAGAAUGGGUGUCCCCUGUUUCUAUCCUUGGGUCACACUCUAGGGGUGUCUCCUUAGGGCAAGAUGGUAAUGACAGACACCUCCCUCACGGGCUGGAGUGCAGUCUUAGACAGCUGUAGGAGAUCUACAACCUCUCUCUGUUGCCCCUUCCUGCCUUGACUUUGCCUCUGGAUUAGCCAAGGCCUUCCUGUACCCUAGGCCGGAUUAUAUUCCUAAAGUGCCUACAUCGGCUGCCCACCCUGUGGUGUUGCAGGCUUUCUGCUCUCCUCCACACUGGAAUAAGAGAGAAUGCACCUGCUGUGUCCGGCCAGUGGCGUAAGUUGGAGCAGCUUUGGCGGCGACAGUAGAGGUGAUGCUGUGUCAAAGCAGCGCCUUUCUAAUUGGAUAGUGGAAGCAAUCUCUAUUGCUUAUGAGGAACGCGGUCUCGCUACGCCUCUGGGCAUAAGGGCUCAUUCCACUAGGGCGGUGGCCUCCGCGAAGGCUUUGUCCAAAGGGGUAUCCUUACAGGAUGUGUGCGCUGCUGAAGGGUGGUCUACGCCACACACAUUCAUUUGUUAUUACAGGCUGGAUAUUCCACCCCGGGCUCAAGUGUCUUGCAGUGACCCUCAGGCUUGAGUCUUUUUGAACAGGCCGUACCCUCGGUAUGAUGGAGUGGGUAUUCUCAUUCCCAUAGUGUUCUGCUAAACACAACGUCGAAGUUCCCUUUGAAAGGGAACGUCUGGGUUUCACAUGUAACCCUGUUCCCUGAGAAGGGAACGAGAUGUUGCAUAGCUUUGUCAUACCAGGGCAGGCCUGUGAAUUGUGUCUUCGCUUCAGAUAAUAGAGGCUGAUGGUGUGGUUCACAGGUGCCAUAUUUAUAUCACGCGGCACACUUAAUUGCUACGUCACCUGAUCAUGGCAGGCCUAUAAAUAGGCAUGAUUUUACACAAGCUGCAGAUGCUGGUCGUGUGCGAGAGGCGCUCCCAUAGUGUUAUGCUAAACGCAUCGUCUCGUUCCCUUCUCAGGGAAUAGGGUUACAAGCGUAACCCAAAUGUUUUCUUGAAUCAACUCACAGUUCUGAACCCUUAAAGUGAGUGAGGGUUUAUAACAUGGAAAAAUUGCUUUCAUAUACUGAAACACACAGAAAUUUGCCCUGAGAUACACCAAUGCUGAUAUAAAAAAACAGAGUCUCAGGAGACUUUCCUAAAAGACAUGAGUUAAUUGUCAGGUGUCAGCUGACCCUGUAUUUAUGUGUGCUACUCCCUGACCUGGUUAUUGGCUUUAUGCUCAACCUCAGCAUUUCCAGAGCUGACAGAUCUGCCAGGCAGCAUUGUCCCCCAUAGACACACUCAUUUUUGCUGAUUCAUAUUUCAUUGAUCUUGCACACUUAAUGAUAUGCUCAUUGACUCAUAGUAUAAUGUUUAGAUUUGAAUAAUAACAUUAAUAUUCUUGCCAUUCUAACAGGUGCUGCCAAGAUGACAGACGGUACCUAUAUGUUAACUCCUUUUACACCUGCUGAUGACCGGUUGGCUCCACAGGUUUAAGCAAACAAAUUUUGUGCACCUCAUUGUGUUAAGUAGUGUGAAAGGCUUAGUUUUCUUUUGACCCUACUAUGUCAAAAGAAUCAAAUAUUAAUUUGAUUUGGGAUAUAUUAAUUGUAAUUUCUUGAAUUUCAGAUAACCUCAUUUACCUGAAUGUACAGUCACCAUGCACUUUAAUAGGAACACCUGUACACCUGCACAUUUAUGCAGUUAUCCAGUCAGCCAGUCAUGUGGCAGCAGGUUCAUGUGCCAGUGUCAUGUGACAAGAGCUUCAGUUAAUGUUCACAUGAAACAUCAGAAUGAAGAAAAAAAAAAUGAUGUUUGUGAUUUUGAUCAUGGCAUUAUUGUUGCUACCAGAUGGGCUGGUUUGAGUAUUUCACAUACUGCUGAUCUCCUGGGAAUUCACACACAACAGCCUCAUGAGUUUACACUGAAUGGUUGUAAAAAUUAAAAAAAAUUAAAAAAAAAACAUUAAGUGAGUGGCAGUUCUGUAGGUGGAAAUGCCUUGUUGAUGAGCAAGAUUAGAGGAGAAUGACCAGAAUAAACUGACAGGAAGUCUAUAGUAACUGAAAUAAUCACUCUUUAUAACAAUUAUGAGCAGAAAAAAACGUAUCAGAACACACAACACAUCAAACCUUUAGGUGGAGUGGCUAUACCAGCAGAAGACCACAUCAGGUUCCACUUCUGUCAGUCAGGAUUAUGAAUCUGAGGCUAUCAUGGGUGGACUUGCCCAAACUGGACGAUUGAGGAUUAGAAAAAAAAAUCCCAGUCUUGAGUGUAUAUCAAGAAAAAAAUCAAGAGGAUGCAAGUGGAUGCCGACCACCCUGCAACUCUGAAAAACAAAUCUCCAUGCUAAUAGGCAACCAAUAUGCAGUGAUAGGUAUUCGGUUUGUUUUUGUUGAUAAACUUGUGGUCACAUCCAUUAAAGUACAUAGAUUAUGGAGUAACUAAUCUGAAAUGUAAGUAAAAGUCAAAUAAAAACUCUUGAGACAGUUGAAACAAAUGAUUUGCAUACAGAAAGCAAUUAUACGACACUUUAAAAUUAUGCUUAAAUUUUUAUACUAGUUGGUGCAAAUUCCUAAGAAUAUACAAUGAGAUUAUUCUAGUUAAAAACCCUCUUGGAAUCCACCUUGAAUUAAAUGGUGGGUACACAUUCUCUACAAUAAAUCUGCCCUAGAAGACUGAUGAUAUAAUAGGGAACCAUGAUGAACUUUAAAAUAAUGUGAUAGUAUUUCUCUAACUGAAAAACAAGUGAAAAGGAAGAGUAUGUGGCAUCCGUGUGUGUGUGCAUGUACAGGGCAUUGACUGGGAGCAGGCUGUUUGUUCCAUCUGAAUCACAAAACAACAAGGAACCUGACAGAAAUCAAGUAUUCUGUGUCUGCAGUUCUACUGCUUCCCUAGGAGACCCGAUAGCUAGCGGAAGUGCUGCAGGCAGAUUUCCAGGAUGCCCAUCCUGAGGUAAUCAUUGAAUGUGCUAGCUCCAGCUCAGAAGCAGCCUCUACAAAGAUUCCAGAUGACAUCAACGCCUGCAAAGACUUUGGAUGAUACCAACACUCUACAAUAGAUAGCAAUGGGAUAGCAGUGGGCCUGAACUGUUCUGCUCUCCGGGCCGGCCUGGACUGUCCUGGUGACCUGCUUCUGGUGUUCUCGUCGCUUGGAGGCCAGUCACUGUUGCUGAGGAUGGCCCCAUAUGGACAGCCUAUCGACACUUGGAAGCCGUGGAGAUGGCAUUGGACUGCAACUGAUGUGAGCAGUUUUGGUGUGGUGUGUUUUUGGGCCCAGGUCUCAAAAGUAAAUGUAAAACUAACUCUCUAAAAUAUGUACUGUGUAAUGACCAGAAUUUCUAAAUGUGAGUAUAAUGUGUGCUGCUAUAUUGCUUAUUUGAUUGUAAGACCUACAAUCUGAAAAGUUUUGUCAUUUCAAGCCUGUCAUGUCAGACCAAAUCAGCAACUCCAUUCCCCAGAAUGCACCACCAACUACAAACAUGGUAGAAGAGGACUACACUUCCCAUACACAUACAUGUUCACCUUCUCCGAAGUUCUAAUCAGAGACGCCUGUUCCCAUUUAUACUCACAAUCACACUACACAUAAAAGAGACUGUUUGAACACUCUUUUUUUAAUUUAUUUAUUUAUUUAUUUAUUUAUUUAUUUAUUUAUUUUACUUUUACGUUUAUGAAUUAGACUCUUCGCCCUGCCCUGUUUAUGCUGUUUGCCUGAUUGCCUGACCUCUACCUGUUCAUGAUUAUUGUCUUCUGCCUUAUCCUUUGGACUUGUUGUUAUUGUUGUUGUUGUUGUUGUUGUUGUUGUAUUAAACUGCCAUACCUGUAUUUGCUUCUGUCUGUGCCUCCAUUACGUGACAAAACCUCAUACCAGGCUACUGGUGCUGUGUUUAUAUAUUCUUCCUCCCUGAUGUAAGAUGUUAAUUCUUACCCAACACAAAUGGGAUUAAUCAGGAUGAAUACAUUGGAGUAGGGUCAUGCAGUUAUUCCAAAUCCAAACUCACAUUUAAAUUUUUAAAGAGGACACUUUAAAUAUUUAAAUAAAUAAAUAAAUAAAAAUAAAAUAAAAUAAAAUAAACUUGGAUUCAUCCUAUACAGGGUGAACAUAAAAUCCCACUAAAAUGACAGAAUUACUGGUAAUCUGUGGGUGUGUGAGAUGUGUCUUGUGAGUGACAGGUUUUGUUUUUUUAAAUAAUAGCCUUAUCAAAUAUAGCAGUUAAUGAUAUACUGGCUGCCUGGCUUCAUAUUUCUGUCUGUACUCCAUCUAAAAUGUAUUUUAUAACCCAGACACAUUGGUAUAAAUUAAUUACAAGCACAUGGAAAUUGCUUUUAAAUUGAGUUUUAGCUGCUUCAAUAUGAGCCCUUGCAUUUCCAUUCGUUUGAACAUUGCAAUCAUAGAACACAAAUGUUAAAAUAGACUGAGUGAUUGAGGGCUGCUGAAAUCCACAGCUAAGACAAAAAAAAAGCAUAUUUACAAAAAGAAAGUCUGACACAUUAUAAAUUCUUCAUUCUGCAAAAAAAUAUAAAAUAUCUGUUUGUGAUCUUCAAUAAAGGUUACACAGUGACAUGAGCCUUAUUACUGGCAUGAAAAAUCCAUGAAAAUCUGUUUUUUCUUUAGACAUGUGAAAGUAGAAUAGUUUUGUAAAACAUAAACAUAUAAAGGUUAUUUCUCGUAUUUUUCCAACAGCAAAUACAGAUUUUUUGUAAUAUAUAUCUACAAUGGUGUUUGCAAGUUUGUGAACCCUGUAAACUUUUUUACAUUUCUACAUAAAUAUGAACUAAAACAUCAUCAGACUUUCACAAAAGUCCUAAAAGUAGAGAAGUAGAACCCAAUUAAACAAUGAGUCAAAAAUACUAUACUUGUACAUUUAUUUAUUGAGGAAAAUGGUCUAGUAUUACAUAUCUGUGAGUGGCAAAAGUAUGUGACCCUUUGCUUUCAGUAUCUGGAGUGACCCCCUUGUGCAGCAAUAACUGCAACUAAACGUUUCCAGUAACCGUUGAUCAGUCCUGCACAUCGGCUUGGAGGAGUUUUAGCCCAUUCCUCUGUACAGAACAACUUAAACUCUGGGAUGUUGAUGGGUUUCCUCACACGAAUGAAUCGUUUGCCUUGGGUCCUUCCACAACAUUUCUAUUGGAUUAAGGUCAAGACUUUGACUUGGCCAUUGCAAAACAUUAAUGUUAUUAUUUUUUAACGAUUCUUUGGUAGAAUGACUUGUGUGCUUAGGUUCAUUGUCUUGUCGCAUGACCCACUUUCUCUUGAGAUUCAGUUCACAGACUGAUGUUCUGACCUUUUCCUCUAAAAUUUGCUGGUAUACUUCAGAAUUUAUUUUUCUUUCAAUGAUGCCAAGCCGUCCAGGACCAUAUACAGCAAAACAGGCCCAAAACAUGAUACUACCACCACCAUGUUUCACAUAUGGGAUAAGGUUCUUAUGUUGGAAUGCAGUGUUUUCCUUUCUCCAAACUUAAUGCUUCUCAUUUACAACAAAAAGUUAUAUUUUGGUUUCAUCCAUUUACACACAACAUUUUUCCAGAAGCCUUCUGGCUUGUCUAUGUGAUCUUUAGCAAACUGCAGAGGGGAAGCAAUUAUCUUUUUGGAGAGCAGUGGCUUUCUCCUUGCACCCCUGCCAUGCACACCAUUGUUGUUCAGUGUUUUCCUAACGGUGGACUCAUGAACAUUAACAUGUGAGAGAGGUCUUUAGUUGUUUAGAAGUUACCAUGGGUUCCUUUCUGACCUCACAGACAGUUACACAUCUUGCUCUUGGAGUGAUCUUUGUUUACCCUCCUGGAGAGGUUAACAAUGGUCUUGAAUUUCCUCAAUUUGUACACAAUCUGUCUGACUGUGGAUUGUUGGGGUCCAAACGGAAAAAGACUUUUCCUCUCUUAUGUUUAAAAAAAAAAAAAGAAAGAAAAAUCUCUUUACUUUUCUGUUACUUUAAAAAAGAGAAAAGUAUGAGUGAGAGUGAAUUCUAGAAGUGUGUUAUGCCUUGCUCCCAUUUCAUCAUGGGGACAGACGGACACACUUUCUGUGUGAAGUGUCUAGGGCUGGACCACGCCAGGGCAGCCUCAAGAGGUCUGACUGUGACCACUGUGAAUGCUUGCAGCUCGCUCUCUUCAUGGCCGAAGGGAGUUGUGUUUCAGAGUCUUACGUAACUGGGCCUGGGGAGCUCAUAUGGAUCUGGAAGAGGAGCCGGAGACAAACGUUGCUCUAUCUCUUGCUCUGUGUUCCUGGUCCAGCUCUCAGCUGGAUUUUGGAGCUUGUGUCACGACUCCUCCUUGCACUAUGGAAAGCCAAAAAUAAAAAAUUCCUCUCUGAGUCUGAUGAGCCAGAAGGGUGUGCCAAAAAUGGAGAGCAGCUCUCAACCAUAUAAAAAGCUGCUUGAAGUGAUUAUUGAUACUUUACUUUAGUGAAAAUAAUUCUCCCUCACACUGCAGAAAACUCCCCUUUUUUUCCCAGAAGUGCAUGACAAAAUAUCAUGCUUCUGUGGAAAACCACAGGACGUAUUUAUAAACCCACAAUGUCAGAUUAUUCGGCCAUCAUGGGGAAUGAACGGCAUGGCUAUUUAGGUAUGCCGAAGGUGACGGGGCCCCUAGUGAGCUACCUCUCUCCAUCGACAGCAGGUAAUUUAGGAGGGCCAGCUUUGCCAUCCAAGCCAUGGAAGGCCACUUUGGUGUUGGUGGGAAAGGCCUAUGUGUUAGUUGUUCUUGCUUGUGGAUCACUGCAUACAAUGGCAGUGUUACUUGCCUACCAAGCAGACCUGCUGAGUGAGCUCGACAUACAGCGGUGUUCAGCCAGUUCCUUCCCCGUUGUGUUGAGUUCACCCAGGCAUCCACGAGUGGAGCAUCCCUCGCGGAUAGCCAGAGGAACCGGGUGGCCACAGGCGCAGCCUGCUAAUAGGCCUGAUCUGAGAGUGGUCAUAAAGGCCGAGCAGACAAAGAAUGAGUAGUCCUGAGGGGCGGAAUAGUGAUGUAUCAGGGGACAUGAUGUUGUUAGGGCAGUUAGCCCCCAGUACUACGGUAGGGCCUCCCAUAGGCAAGGCUGUCCCAAGUUUUCAGUGUUCUCUGGUCAGCGAGCUGUCACAGAUCAAAUGAAAAGCUGAUGCUUUCCCUCCAACAGAAUGUGGAAAAGUUAAAAUCACUAAAAGUUCAUCUGGCAGUAUGAAAACUACUGACAAAUGUGUCUCUAUGGGUUCUGUCUACCAUAGAAAAGGGUUACCAGUUCCAGUUAAGAGCUCGACUCCCCCGUUUCAGAGGUGUGCUCACCACAGAAGUCAGCACAGAGCAGAGCCCGAUGUUAAUGCAGGAAGUAAGAUCCCUCUUGGACAAAGGGGCCAUAGAACAUGUACCCUGUUCCCAGGAAGGUCACAGCUGUUAUUUCCUGGUCUGCAAAAAAGAUGGGAGUAUGUGGCCAAUUUAAGAUCUGCAUCACCUGAACCACACUCUUCAGACAUACAGGUUCAAGAUGAUGAUGCUCAAACUUAUCGCUCCACAGAUUCAGUUUGAGGAAUGGAUUGUGAUGAUAGAUCUAAAAGAUACAUAUUUCCACAUAGAAAUAUUGCCCAGUUACAGGAAGUUCCUGAGGUUUGUGUUUGGAGGCAAUGCAUACCAAUAUCAGGUUCUUCCCUUCAUGCUAGCUUUAUGCCCUCGCACCUUCACAAAGAGCAUGGAUGUCAUUCUGGCUCCAUUGCGAC
ensembl:lncRNA